AGAGCACCAUUAAGUGGUUGGCGGGUUUUUUUGACUUUCCCGGUACGAUUCACAAUCGUACUUCCCCGGGACACCUCCCUCCUUUUAAGACGCAUGUGCUAGUUGGUUAAAUUUAGAAUUCCCAAAGCCCGCUACAAUACCCACAAAUCUCUUUUUAGUGGCUAUUUUUCCAGCCAAAUCCCCUCGUCAGUGAAUCUCUGUCGUCGUCGGUGAAGAUUUGUACUUUGUUCAAAAUGGUUGCGAAGAUGGAUGUUGUCUUUAAUUAUGGAGGCAAGUGGCUAUUGACACCACAGGUUGUUUACAUAAAAAAACAGAACCAUGUGUGGGAGGAUUAUGAUGCUGCUUUGUUGUCUUAUAUAGACAUUUGUACCGAAUACACAGAAAGGUUUGGUUUUAGGGUGGUUAAGCAGCUGCUAGUCACGGGUCCCUCAGGUAGAUAUUAUUUGAUUAAGGGUGAUUCAGGAAUUAGAACACUACAAUCUUCAUUGUCUAGUGAGUUUAGUGUGCUUCAAUUCUUUGUUGUAGAUGAGAGUGAAGAUAAUGUUUUAGCUCCCAACAUCAUUCAUCAUAAAGAACCAUGCUUUGUAUCAGCAGAUGUAGGAACUUAUUGUGAGUCGCGUUUCGAAGAGGAGGAUGAUAAUGAACCAGUUCCUAUUGACUAUGACAGUGAAGGAUUGGAACUUUUUAGAAAGGAAAAGAACAGGGAAGUGAAUGAGAAACUAGAUAAAUUUUUUAGUGUUGGAAAAGGGUAUGAGCUUUAAGGAUCUUAAUGAAGCUAAAAGAGUUGUGGGCUAUUACGCAAUUUCUAAUAAGAAAGGACUUAGGGUUGAUCAUAGUGACAAUGCCAGACUUAGAUAUAAGUGUGAUGUUGGCUGCCCUUUUGUGUGUUUGAUUUCUGUAGAUAACAAAGAUCAUGGAUUUAAGAUUAAGACCUUGGAAUUAAAACACAAUUAUCAACCAGCAUUUAAAAAUAGAAAAGCUACUCAACAAGCUUUAGCACACUACUUCAAGAACAAAGUACAGAAUAAUCCUAAGUAUAAGGUGAAAGACAUGAGGCAGGAUUUGGAUGAUCAAUUUAAAGUUAAUAUUAGUACUUCAAAGAUGAAGAGGGCUAAGAGGCUUGUUUUAGAGAAAUUAGAGGGUACCUACAUUGAUGAUUUCAAUAGGUUGGAGGCUUAUGCUCAAGAAUUGAGGAAUAGCAAUCCUGGUACUGAUGUGGUGAGAAACAUAUCUAAAGAGGCUCUUGAACAAGGUAAAAGAAGAUUUAUAAGAAUGUAUGUGUGCUUUCAAGCUUUGAAAAGUGGUUGGAGAGGAGAUUUGAGGCCAUUUAUAGGGCUUGAUGACACCUUUCUGAAAGGGAAAUGUAGGGGAAUUUUAUUGGUUGCCCUUGGACAAGAUUCAAUGAAGCACUUCUUUCCUCUUGCUUGGGCAGUAGUGGAUAGAGAAACAUCCAAAGCCUGGAAAUGGUUCAUUGAGUUGCUGAAAAAUUCCUUAGACCUGAAGGAUAGUCAAGGAUUCACACUUAUGUAUGAUAUGUAAAAGGGUCUGAUUGAUGUUGUUACUCAUGUGCUUCCCAAAGUGCACCAUAAAUGGUGUGUACGGGAGCCAUUGAAGCCAAUUGGAUGAAGACUUGGAGGGGUGUACAGAUGAAGAAGUUAUUGUGGUGGUCUGCUUGGAGCACCUAUGAAGAAGAAUUUGAAGAUCAGUUAAAGUCCAUAGGUGUUGUGUCUGAACAAUCUGUCAAAGAUUUGCUAUGGUACCCGGCACAACACUAGUGCAGGGCCUAUUUUGACACAGUCUGCAAGACUUCUCAUGUGAAAACAAUUUUGUUGAGUCAUUCAACAAGUGGAUUCUGGAAGCAAGGAUGAAACCAAUAAUCAAGAUGUUGGAAGAUAUUAGAAUCAAGGUACAUAUUUACUGUUUUUUAUGCUUAAAUGGAUAAUCUUGAUUUAAUAGCUUAAUGGGUUUUUAUUUAUAAACUUGAUUGAGCCUUUAAACUGGCAGUGAGUUCUUGAUUUACUUCUCUUGUAUUUUGUUAAUUUUUUUAGCUGAAUUGAUGUUGUAUACUAUUGGAUGUUUGUUAUGUUAUUAAAGGUUGAAGCUUUAAGAGUUGAAGGAUAAUCUUGAUUUGAUACUGGUACUGGUUUUUGUUAGAACUGAAGCUAUGCUAUAUUAUAUUAUUAGAACAUAAUAUCUUGCAGACUGUAACACUAUUCUCCAUAUUGAUAGAGUCCUUUAAAUUAGAUAAAUGUCAUAAACUUAGCAUUGCUGUUGGAAAAUUUCAAGAUAAUUCAAUUUCCAUUUUCACUUCAGAUAAGGACUUGUCACAGGUUAUACAUACUAACUUCACCAUUUCCCUCUUUAAGCUUUUCACAUUCUUUUUUCAGCAUAGGGUCACCUCAUUUUUUCAUUUUAAUCAAUUUGGUGUCAGUUUCUGGGCAAAAAUAUCAUAAAGUUGUGAUCUUUAAUAAAUUUGCAAAUCAAGAAUUGAUUUUUAUUAAGAGUUCAUUAUUGGGGUUCUUGUUUUUUAUUCAAUGGCAUUUAUUUCUUUGUUGGGUUUUUGCUCUUGUUGUUGAAAUGUUUGUGGAAUUCGUUUGUAGUAUUUAAGGGUUUGUUUUGAAUGGUAAGGUCAGAAUGGACCAAACAAAAAUAUUAGUAGUUCAAUCUAAGUUUUCCAACAGCAAAGCUAAGUUUAUGACAUUUAUCUAAUUGUCCAUGAUUCAGAACUGAAGCAGUGCUAUAUUAUAUGAUUUAAAACUAAAGCAGUGCUAUAUUGUCCAUUAUUCAUAACUGUAAUCACCAACAAUACGAUUGAUUUUUGGUACUGGUACUGGUUUUUGUUAGAACUGAAAUUCAAAAUUUUCUAUUUAUGUUUUGGUUUAUUUACUGGUUUUUGGUACUGGUUUCUAUUAAUGUGUUUCUCUUAAUAGUGUUGUGAAAAAAAGCAUGCUUGUACUUUUUGGUACUGUUUUUUGGUCUGUUAUGAAAAGGUUAUGAAUAGAUUGAAAGAUCUCGAAGUGGAAGGAAGAAAUUGGAGUUCUAAUUUUAGUUCAUACGCUAUGGAAUUGUACAAUGAUUUUAGAAUCAUUGCUCAAGGUUGUCAAGUUCAAGCUAAUGGAGACCUAGGGUAUGAGGUGGUUGAGGCUAUAGAUAGGCAUGUUGUGGAUCUUGUUAGGAAGAGGUGUACAUGUAGGACAUGGGACUUAACAGGAAUACCAUGUUCUCAUGCUAUUAAAGCCUUACUUCAUGACAAAAAAGAACCAUUAGAUGAGUUGCAUUGGUGGUAUUCAAAAGAGGCUAACUUGUUGGUGUACAUGCAUAAGAUACAGCCUGUUAGAGGUGACAAAUUCUGGAAAGUUGAUCCUUCUCAUGCUAUUGAGCCCUCAGAAGUACAUAAAAUGGUUGGUAGACUGCAAAGAUUAAGAGAACAAGGGAAAAGACUGAGUCAGGGAAGAGGGAGGGGUUGUGGUCAGCUUCAAGAAAAGGUCUUAAAAUGACAUGUGGACACUGUGGUACUCUUGGUCACAAUAGAAGAACAUGUCCUAUGGUACAGUAAUUUUUUUUUAUUUAUUCAAUGUUAACACUAUCCUAUUUAAAUGUCUAACUAAGUUGACAAAUUUUGUAGCUUCAAGCAAGCAGAAAACGAUCAAGAUGUGCCACUUUCAAGACCCCAAGCCGCCAAGAUUCUCGAUUUCGUGCUCAUGCCUAAUCCUGGCUUUGCCUCUUCCGGUCAACCGUUCGAAGUCCGGACCUUCAAAUCAAAGAGAAAAUCUAAGGAUAAAGUUAUUGCACCUUCAAAGAGAUCUUCCAAAAAUAAUGUUAAACCUUCAAGUAUCUUCAAGAGCACUUGUUGAUGAAGAUGAUGAUGAAGGUAAACUUGACGAUGAGGAUGACCAGCCAAUUCUAAGGCCUAAGGUGAUUUCUAAAGCUAAGACUAGGCUUAAACUCAAGAAGUUGCAUCAACAACCAACUAGUGCAAGGAAGACUGGCUUCAAGAGAGAUGAGAAUGGUGUUAAUAUGCCUACAAAUUUGUCAUACUCACCAAGAAAGUUGGCUUGGAUAGGCCAACCAUGUGUGACCUCAAAUCAGUUGGAUGCUGCAAAAGGAAAAAAAGAUUGGCAAAUUGAAGGCAAAGAGGAGCAAGCAUUAGGGCAGAUUUUUAGUAGUUUUUUUUUUCUUUUCUGUUUUUUCAAUGUUAUGUAAUGGCACAAUUACACUUCAUAUUUUGUUGUUUUUGGAGUGAAUCAGUCUUGGAAGUGGCUGAUUUGAUUCACUCCAAAAAUAUUUUGGGAGCUUAUCUUUUGUGGGUUGCCAUGUAUGUCCAUGGCAAUGAAGUUGUGUAGUGGUUGUUGAACACUUUGCAAAAAUAUGACAAUGCCAUUGCUAGUUUAAAUGUGUUGUUGAUUUACAUUACAAUGUAAUGUUGUGGUUGAACAUUUUAGGCUACUUGCA